CUGCAUGGUUGUCGUCAGCUCGUGCCGUGAGGUGUCGGGUUAAGUCCCAUAACGAGCGCAACCCCUACCUUAGUUGCCAUCAGGUAAUGCUGGGGACUCUAAAGGAACUGCCUACGCAAGUAGUGAGGAAGCGGGGAUGACGUCAAAUCAGCACGGCCCUUACGUCCAGGGCUACACACGUGCUACAAUGGCCGAUACAGAGGGCAGCUACCUGGUGACAGGAUGCAAAUCUCCAAAGUCGGUCUCAGUUCGGAUCGGAGUCUGCAACCCGACUCCGUGAAGUUGGAUUCGCUAGUAAUCGCGCAUCAGCCAUGGCGCGGUGAAUACGUUCCCGGGCCUU
rnacentral:rRNA from 1 species